CAGGGGAUAUUUUAUGUAAAAUAUUGGUUUUGGGGACUAGUGAAAUGGCUUGAUGCUUUUCCUCUGA
rnacentral:tRNA from 1 species